GAAGGUACAGCUCAGUGGUAGAGCACCUGCUUAGCAUGCAAGAGGUCCUAGGUUCUAUUCCCAGUACCUCCA
rfam:Camelus ferus unplaced genomic scaffold scaffold1144, whole genome shotgun sequence.